rnacentral:rRNA from 1 species
CCUACGGGUGGCAGCAGUGAGGAAUAUUGGUCAAUGGGCGGAAGCCUGAACCAGCCAAGUAGCGUGCGGGAUGAAGGCCCUACGGGUUGUAAACCGCUUUUGCACGGGGAUAACACCCUCUACUUGUAGAUGUCUGCCGGUACCGUGCGAAUAAGGACCGGCUAAUUCCGUGCCAGCAGCCGCGGUAAUACGGAGGGCCCGAGCGUUAUCCGGAUUUAUUGGGCUUAAAGGGUGCGUAGGCGGGCGUUCAAGUUAGCGGUUAAAUCGCGGGGCUUAACCGCGCCCGGCAGUUGAAACUGGAAGGCUUGAGUUCAGAAGAGGUAGGCGGAAUUAGUGGAGUAGCGGUGAAAUGCAUAGAUAUCACGCAGAACACCGAUUGCGAAGGCAGCCUGCCAGGGUGCGACUGACGCUGAGGCACGAAGGUGCGGGUAUCAAACAGGAUUAGAUACCCGAGUAGUC